UCUUGCUCGAUGUCAUGGUAACAGAAACACACUUCCUUUAUAUUAUAUCUAAGUUUGCUUUUUAAAUACGAGCAGGGCAGGUUGCAGACUGUGUGUAUCCCAUGUGGAAAGACAGCACUAGCUUUCUGGGUGCCAGCACAUACUCCCAGCUGUUGCUUUUGCUCUAGGGUCACAGAUGCAUCUCACGCUGAAUCAGUUAAAAAUGCAGUAGCUAUGCUUGGGGACACAAGCUUAAAUUUUCAGGGCCUGAUUAUUCUGUUAGUUUCCUAUGUGCAAUUCCCACUGAAGUCGGCAGAAGUAGUGCAUGCAGACCUGACAGGCUUAUGUGGAGCACAGCACUGCAAAGGAUGUAAUCAUACAUCUGAUUUCUUGAGGUACUCGAGGUCUAAUUCUCACCCUCUUCCAUGAUGUGAGGAUUUACCACAGCUUUUAAGGAUUUGGAUGGAUCAAAAAAUAUUAGGUUACUUGUGAUGUUUUCUUUUUAAUGAUCAGAGGAAGGAAAAGAGAUCUGAAGAAUAGCAGCUUACGUUGGACAAGUCCAGAAAGGAAAAUGCAUUCCAUAGAGCUCUAAUGCUGAGCUAAGACUAAUAGAAAGUGUGACAUUUCACGUGAGGGAAAUAAAUGUGAAACCAAGGGACAAAGGCAAACUCACGAAAGGAAAGGUUACUGGGUGACAGGCUGCUGGCCCCCAAGCCUGAGGCUCCGUGCCGGGUGGGAUACAGGUGCCUGUGGAGUCAUUUCCUCAGCUCGCUUCCCGAUGCUCUGCGACUGGCAUCCAGGUGAGCGAUCGCUGCGCUCUUCUCCUCUGGCAGCCCUGCGUGGGCACAGCCGAGUCUGAAGGCGGCACGCGGCUCUCCCUGGGCGGACGGGGCAUGCCUGGCUCUGACAGAGGAGAAUUGUAACAGGGCACUUACCAUCUUGUUCAUCCAACAGCUUCAUUGAGACCAAUGGAAAUAACUCUCCAAUAGCCACAUUCCACUUGCCUGCCCAUUGCAUAGACUGCCUUCUCAAACAUGAGGGACCGUCAUAGCUCAGACUCCUAGUUUUUCAGAUGUCUCUGCUGCAAAAAUUCCUCCUAAUCCUGAAUUCUUUCAUUGGUGAAAGUCAGCAGUGCUUUCUGAACUCCUGGACCUUCAUCAUUUUCAGAAAAAUUUAGUCUGCUGAAUUUCUAAAGGCUUUUUAAAAAUCAAGAUCCUGGUAGUUCUCUGAUUAUUGGAGUCUGCCAUACCAUCCUUACGGUAACAAUUUCUAAACCAGGCUGAGAUUCCUUUAUUUGUAUCUCCCAUUAUGCAGUGCAACACUUUGCUUAUAACCAUAUCAGGAAUCUUUCUAGUUUACAAUGGUUCAUUAAGUGCCUACAAUUAAGCAUCUGUUCAAACUGAAAUGUUAAACUUUAUGGCAUUUGGGUUGACAGUCAAGUGUGUUCAAUACAGAUGCCACAUUUCAGUACUUGAUUUUUAAUAUUAUGUGGCCUUUACGUCAGCUUUUUCUGCCUUAUUUUUUUUCUUAUCCUUACAGAUUCUUCUCAGAAAGAUACAUUACAGCUUGUUUUUGCUUCUCCAAAACCACUUACAAUUCUGCCCUGGUCUGGCUGUAUGACCUGUCAUUUUUUUGUUUACCUCUUUUGCAAAUGAUAUGAUCCUUGAGAUCUUUUAAUAUUCAUACUUUACAUCAAUUUUUUUUUCUGUUUCCCCAUUUACUCAGCUCCAUUCAAAACUCUUUUAUUUUUUUCACUCACUAGUGCAGUAAUUAGUUCUUAGAAAGCUCAUAGACCUGCAAACUGUACCGUGGCUAAGUGAAGUUGUCUUGUGAUCCUAUUCCUGUGAUUCUUACUCUUCUCAGCAUGCAUCCCUCUCCCUUCCUGUUGCUCGCCAUGGUCUUGUCAAACAUUCAAAUUUAAGCUCUUCGGGAAGGGCUUUAUGUUUUAAUGUUUCUUCAUGGAUUCUGAUGCACUGUAAGAAUAAAUG